rnacentral:rRNA from 1 species
UACGAAGGGUGCAAGCGUUACUCGGAAUUACUGGGCGUAAAGCGCACGUAGGCGGUUUGUUAAGUGAGAGGUGAAAUCCCAGAGCUCAACUCUGGAACUGCCUUUCAUACUGGCAGCUAGAGUCCGGAAGAGGUAAGUGGAACUCCUAGUGUAGAGGUGGAAUUCGUAGAUAUUAGGAAGAACACCAGUGGCGAAGGCGGCUUACUGGUCCGGAACUGACGCUGAGGUGCGAAAGCGUGGGGAGCAAACAGG